rnacentral:rRNA from 1 species
CUACGGGAGGCAGCAGUAGGGAAUAUUGGACAAUGGGCGCAAGCCUGAUCCAGCCAUGCCGCGUGAGGGAAGACGGCCUUAGGGUUGUAAGCCUCUUUCAGAUGGGACGAAGGUUGUCCGGUGAAUAGCCGUGAUGAUUGACGGUACCGUCAGAAGAAGCUCCGGCUAACUACGUGCCAGCAGCCGCGGUAAUACGUAGGGAGCGAGCGUUGUCCGGAAUCAUUGGGCGUAAAGAGCGCGUAGGUGGAUCAAUUAGUCUGCUGUGAAAGUCGAAGGCUCAACCUUCGAAAGCCGGUGGAUACUGUUGAUCUAGAGUACGGAAGAGGCGAGUGGAAUUCCUGGUGUAGCGGUGGAAUGCGCAGAUAUCAGGAGGAACACCAAUAGCGAAGGCAGCUCGCUGGGACGUAACUGACACUGAGGCGCGAAAGCGUGGGGAGCAAACAGGAUUAGAAACCCUUGUAGUCC